GGCAUCAAAUAUUUACAGACAGCAUUAAAAAUUAACCUCAGGAUGUGGCUGUUCCCAGAAGUCAGGGGUGAGGAGACGGAGGAGGCUGCCUCCGGGCACCAGCAACGGCCGCUCCCAGGCCAGCCCAGCUCCCGUGGCCCAGUCCCAGAGCCGCGGCAGCCUCCGCCCUGCGUCUGCCCAGGCCCCUGGCUGUAAGCCCUUUGGGGCUCCCAGUGGCCUGAAGGCAAGGACAGGCCCUCGGCUCAGCAUCCCCAGCCCUGGCCCUUCCUCUCUGGGACUCAGAUUUGCAGGAUGGAAAGGAAUGAAUCUCGCAGAUGGGAGGAGGCCAAGGUGGAAGUGGAGACAUUCCAGGAACCAAGGGCAGCAGCACGGAGCCCGCGCCCCUCCCCCUCCGCCUGAUUCUGCACUUUCCGGGACAGAGGGAAAGACGGGGAGUACUGUCGCCCCAUAGGACAGCAUGCCACAGCCACAGCCGCGGAGACGGAGACGCACUCUGCGGGAGGCCCAGCAGGGGUGGCUGGGGGACCAGGGCCGCUGGGGACACUGCACAGGAUCUCAGGACAACUGUUCUUCGUGCCCUUUUUUUUCUUUUGGUACCAGGGACUGAGCUCAGGGGCACUCGGCCACUGAGCCACACCCCCAGCCCUGUUUUGUAUUUUAUUUAGAGACAGGGUCUCCCUGAGCUGCUUAGCGCCUCACUUUUGCCGAGGCUGGCCUUGAACUCACCAUCCUCCUGCCUCAGCCUCCCAGCUGCGGGAUCGCAGGCUGCGCCUGGUCCUUCUUGCCUUUCUAUGGACGAGGAAACUGAGGUUCCGGAAGGUCACAUGACACACCCAAGUCGAGCAGCCAGUGCGCUUUCAGGUCCCAAGAGGCCUGUCCACUCAGCACAGUGCCCCACCUUCCCUCACUCUGCCCCUCGCGCUCUAGCCAGCUGCGUGACCCAUCAGCCUGUUGGGCUACAGGCAAAAUAAAAUUCCCUGGACAGGGCUCUAUACCCCCUUUUGAAAUCCCUUCCCCUUUCCCCCGGGGGGUAUCAGGGAUUGAACCCAGAGGCUCUUGACCACUGACCCACAUCUCCAGACCCACCCACCUACCCCCUUUGCGUUUUAUUCAGGGACAGGGGCUCAUUGAGCUACUUAGGGCCUCGCUAAGUUGCUGAGGCUGGCUUUGAACUCGCGAUCCUCCCGCCUCAGCCUCCCAAGCAGCUGGGACUACAGGCGUGGCCACCAACCAAGUUGCUAUUCCAUGCACUGCCCUUUGUAACCUCCCCACCGCGCCCCCAGCAGGACAGUCCACUGAGGCUGCAGGAGAAAGGAGACUCCUAGUUAGGUAAGCGCAGAGGCUGAACGAGUGUCAGCGGUGUGCCAAGUUCACAGGGAGCGAAGAGGCCGGGCCACAGUCAGCCUCCACCUGCUCCGGGGACAACAGGUAUCAGAGCCCCGGUGGGCUCAAACCCAGGCCCAGACAUGCCUUGCUGGUCCUGAUUGGCUCCCAGGGACCACGCCCCCAUCUCUGGGCCAUUCACUGUGCCAGGGGGUGGGGCACAGUAAAGGGCUCCUCCAAUCAGGGUUCACCCCUGAGGUGGGUGGAGCCGGGUGGGAGGGUCUCCGGAGCCUGGGCCCGCUGGGGAGCCGGCAGCGCCCGGUGGACUUCCCUACGGGGAAAGGGGCCGUCGCACCUGCUCCCGGCCUGCGGUGCCACUCGGAUGAGAGGUGCCGGCGCCCACGACCGUAAACGGGCAGAACUGCGCCGCGGCCACUGGGGUUGCUUUGUGCCCAGGGAGGAGUGCGCACCUGCAGAGCUGCUGUCGCCUGCUUCAGAAGGUGCAGAGCAGGGACACCAGGCUGCCUCCCCGAGGCCGUCGCACCCCUAUCAGCUGGGCGGCUGGAGGUGUUCCGAGAUGGCAUCCUUAGGCAGUGUCACCGUGGGCAUCGCAGAGGGCACUUGGGCUGUGAAAGGCAUUGUUGACCAUAGCGGCUUCGAGGGUCAUGGCCCAGGGAAUGUCGCACUGGCUCAGCUUGAUGAACUUCAGCUACCAAACUUCCCAACACCCAGGCGUCCUGGCACCGCGACACUCCAGACCCCCAGCCCCUGAGUUACUUUGGCCCAUUCUUGAGCUUAGCCGAGUGGAUUGGGACAGUAUGGCUGCAGGGCCUGGCCUGUCACCAUGAGGUCGGUCACUGGUGACCAAAAGGAGGCAGAUUGAAAGCUGCUGAACGAAGCUCUAUUGAGACUGGCUCCGGGCGAGACCCUGCACCCAGGCUCAGCUGGACUUGGACUUUUAUCGGGCUUAGGGCAGGAAGGGAGGUUGUAGGGUCCCUUGUCCUCCUGAGGUUGGUCGGGGAUCUUGCUGAGCUCCAUGUCCUUCCAAGGUUGGUGAGGAGACCCCGCUGAUUGACAGGUGGUCAUCACUGCUUGUCUGUGGGCGUCUGAUUGGUUGUUCUUUUGCGCAUGCGGGUUGCCUGGUGCUUUGUUCCCUCAGCCACGGCAAACCGACCUGACAGUCACACCAUGCUUUGUCCUUGUUGACUGCAGUGUGGCCUUCCCUUGUGUGGACGCUCCACAGAGUGUGCAUCCUGUCCCCUGAUGACUUGUGGGUCCUUUGCUCUGGGACCACAUGAACAGCUGCUCAGGUUGCCAGCAGACCCCGGGUGCAUGGCUCUUGGGACAGCACAGGUGUGUCAUAACAAGGUGCCACAAACCCAGUGGCCUAAAGCAACACAUGGUUAGCUUCCUGCCCUGGGCCAGGGCUUCCUCUGGAGACCCCGGGAUGGAUCCCUCGGCCCUGCCUUUCCCAGCUCCGGGAGGUGCCAGCCACGCCCCCCUCGGCAGCCGCCCUCUGCCCGGCUGCUGCCACGGCCACCUCUCCUUGACUCUGACCCUGCCUCCCUCCUGUGGCCCAGCCACAUGACCCCAGCAACCCCCAUCUCGAGACCCUGAGUGUCACCCCAGCCACAAAGCCCAUUUUGAUCUGUAAAGGGACAGGCACAGCUUCUGGGGAUUGGGGACAGGGAGAACAGUGGGUGUUGUGAUGGCACCUAUGCAUGUCCCGAGGGUGACAGGGCAGGCGCGGAUUCUGCCUUAGGACUUCCUGCCAAUCACUUUUACAAAGAGGCCCAGGCUGAGCCAUUUGGGUCCCACUCGAGUCACGGGAGAGCUCCUGCCGCGUCCCCUCGGGCGCUCACUGUGGGCAGCGUAGUCUUGGCCUCUCCCGUGGGCGCACAGGGGUGGCUCUGGGGGCCUCAGGCUCCUCUCUGCCCUUGGGCCACCUCACAGGCAGCACCACCUCCGAAGCCUCCAAGGACAGUCCCCAGGUCGCACCCUUGGGAUUGCCGGGCCUCCCGCCAGUUCUCAGCGUCCCCGCGCCCGCUGCCUGCUCCCUUUGCAGAACACAGCUGUCCCCACCUGGCACAUGUGGGGGAGCGCCUGGCCCCCAGGGCUACUGUCAGGGCUGAGUGUGGGAGCUGCUGUCAUCUUGUGUCGGGAGGGACGGUUGUCUGCAGCUCACCUGGCAAUCACUCAUGCUGGGCGGCACUCCCCUGCCUCAGCGCCCAUUGUUGCAGGCUCCCCAGGCGCGGAACUUUCAUUAUGAUUCAAAUUGCCAGGUGCUCAGCUUCUCCUCCCAGGGAUGCUGCAGACGCCAGCCCCCGGCCUGCCAGCUGCGCGGCUCCUCUUCCCGAUGCCAGGCUCCGCCUCGCAGGACUGCCUGCCCGCUGCCCGCUAGGCCUGCUGGUCCCCAGCCAGGUGGCCGUAUGGCCUGGUGCUCAGCGGCACAGACCGGAUCCUGGCUCUACCACUCACUCCAGGUGUGACCCUGGACAAGCUACGCAGCCUCUCUGAGCCCCAGGGUCCCCAAGCUGUGCGGAUCAUGGUCCCCAGCUCUCAGGGUGGCUGCCGUGGGGACAAGGCUCAGAACAGUGCCCGGCUCAGAAGAAAGGCCCAGCACAGUGGCCGAACUCCCAGCCUCUGAUAGAACCAGCGACGGUCUUCCCUCGGCUCCCAGGGCCCCAGGUCCAGCAGGUGCCCGUGCCCGGCAGUUGAGGGCCUAGCCCCUCUCCAGAUGCCCCCUGCCGGGAAUGUCUCGGGCCACCCACAGCCACCACUGUGACCCUCCACGUGGCCUGACCAGGACGCUCCCUCCUCCUGGUGUACUCCUGGCUAACUGCUCGGGGUCAGCACCCUGGAGACUGCCCCGACCUCCUCCCAGGCCAGGACCUGUGGGACCCUCGGGAGCCCAGACCCUGGAACAUGCCACUCCUGCUUUGGGGUCCUGGUGUGGCUCCAGCUCAGCUCUCAAGGGCAGGGCGUGACUCGGUUCCAGGACCCCAGCACCCAGCCCUGGCCUGGACGGAGAGGACAUCACAGCAGCCAGUUCUGCAAGCCCAGGGGACCUGUCGGUGGCCAGCACCUGGUCUCCACGGGGCUGAUUGACAGUGAGGGGCGUGUGACCAGCAAGGUGUCCGAGAGGACAGGCGGCCCCACAGCAGGGCCAGGGGCUCUCGGUUACAGAAGCCGACAGUCGCUCAGGGACUUUCCCUGCUCCCAUGGGUACUGCACGGCUGGGGCAGGUCGCCAUGGAAACAGAACAAAAAACUGGCCUCGGCCAAGGAUUCCCUCCGGAAGGCGGUGUGCUGACCGCGUCCCCAGAGCGGAUGGGCUAACGGCCAGGCCACAUCCAGGUGGGCCAGCCGCAGCUGUUCCCAGCAGAGGGCCGUCCACAGUGGCACGAGUCCCGCGGCCCGCAGGAAGGGGGUCCUGCCGGCCUAAAGUCCUAUCAGGCGGGUGCCCAAGGCCCUGAGAGCCAGGCACUUGCCCAGGGUCACCAGCCCGUGAAACGCAGGACUGGGAUCUGAGCAGACCCCGACUUUGAGGCCAGUGUCACCACCACUCAGUGUGCCCAGGCCGGUGGGAGUCGGCUGUGCCCAGGGGGCGCUUGGCGAGUGGGUCCUGAGGAUGUGGGGGAGGUAAAGUAGGGUCGUGUGCCCCGGGCAGCGUGGCGAGAACUGGGCGUCCUGCAGAGCGGAGGUCAUGAUGGAGGUACCUGGGAAGAGGUCCUGAGGUCCCCGCCGAGGGCUAAAACUGCGCCUCGAGGGAAACCUGAGUAGAGCGAGAUCUUUCUAAUGUUGCUGAUUUUGAAAUAUUUCAUUUGGUUCAAAAUAAGAUGCAUAAAAAUGUGGAUAAAAAGCAUAAACGAUAAGAAAGCAGCCCAGGUCCCCGCGCAGCACGAGAGCCAGGCCAAAGCCACCAAGGCCCCCCACCCUCUCCACCUGGCGCUCCGAGGUCCAGAGCGCGUGUGCCUCUCGGGCAUGACUGACUGCAGCAGCUGGUGCCCUCCAGGGAGGUCCCCGAGGAAGGCUGGGGGCUGAGGCCCAGCGGCAGGGCGGCCAGGAGGAGGCUCAGAGGAGUGGGGGACGCGGCCUCCCCCAGGAGGAGCCGAUUCUCCACCGCAGCCGCGAGCUGAGCAGGAGGGAGACGCUCAUGCCGGGCGGGCGAGGAGGCCAGGCUGAGGCCCCGUCCCCAGCCCCCAGGGGAGACCAGGCUGAGGCCCGACAGACCUGGCUCCCUGACAAGCCUCCUCUCUCUUCCACCGCCCCUCAGUCCCUGGGGCUCCCGGUCCCUGCCCCUCCCAGGCCAGCGUCACUCUCCAGGGCUGUGGGCACCACCACCCAGGCCUGGGCAGAGAACCCGUCCAGGGCACUUGGUCCCCUUCCCUUUCCCGCCCCUGUGCCUGUGAGGCAGAGGUGGGGGUUCUCAUGUCGGGGGCCUAAGCUAGAAUCCUGACGUGGAGGCCCACACCAGAGGUCGGCAGAACCCUGAGUCAUCUCCUGUUUUGUCACCUAUGCUUCUGUUCAUGUGACCCCAUCCCUCCCUGACACACCCGAUGCCAUGCGCAGGUCCCUGGAGCAGGACGCCCUGCUGUCCCCAGGCUUCCCUGAGCCUCUCUGGCUGAUCCCCCCAAGGUCACCUGAUUCCACGUUUCCACCUGAGAACCAGGCGGGGGUGAGGGGGGGGGACGGGCCCUGACCUCCUCCUGGCGUCCCCCCACCCCCCGCGGGACGUCAUGCUGUUUUCCAGACCUGCGGCCCAGUCCCCAGGCUUGGUGGCUUUUCACACCGCAGAUCUAGAAGGCCGGGCUGGUCCCACCCUCCUGGUCCCCGGCUCCCGCGUCAGUGGCCACAAUGGGACAUCGCAGUGUCCUGGGCCACCACACCCGUCACCCCACUCUCCACGCCCACUCCUGCCCCCUCCCUGGUGGGGUCUCCCGGGGUCUCUGCCGCUCUCUGCUGUCACAUGGCCGCAGUGUCCUCGAGGGCCUGGUUCUAGGGCCCCGCGGACGUGGGCAUCCCUGGAAGCCCAAGUCCUUGUUGACAGGGACCUACGCAUGGCCCCGGGUCCUCCUGACCCCCAGCAGAGUCAAGGCUGAAUCGUGGCCACGCUGCGCGGCCCCGGGUUCGGGGGCCCUGGGCACAGCCAUGUCCAGCACAUCUCCUUUCAAACGCUGGCUGGGCCACCUGCUGCCUCACGCUGCCUGUCACCCCGCGUCACGUCUGGGUGGCGUGUCCCCUUCGUCACUUGCGUGCCCACCUUUCGAAUCAAGUCCUCACUGGGGCUGAUGUGAUGGCUGUCGGGGGACAGUGCACCAUCUUAGGAACUUUGUUGUCACUUAGUGACCGACUGCUUUGGGCACAGCUUUAGGUUUUCAGGAAAAUGGAGCCGAAAGCGCAGGGUUUCCUGCCCCCUCCCCUCCCCCCCACCGCGGUUUCCACAUCACCAGCGUCUUGCGUUUCUGUGGCUCGUCUGUGACAAGGUGACAGGGCACGCGUUACACCACGGCUGGGACCUGAGGGGCUCCUUCCCCCACUGCUUCUGCCGGCAGCAUUCAGAUCACACAGGACAGGCCAAGUCCAGGCCUGGGGUAGACAGGCUGCCUGCGCUCACCCGUGUGCUGUGUGAGCUAGGGCAUCGUGCUGAGCCUCUCUGGGCCUCAGUUUCCUUCUCUGUGCAACAGGACUUACUCAUGAGGCUCUGGUGAGGAUUAAAUGAGUGAUCUCUAUGGAGAGCUCAGAGCAGCGUCCAGCACAAAGUGGGUGCUCAGUAAGUACUUUUGAAAGUGUGAAUCUCCAGUUUACAUUACAUGGGUGGGGGAUGCAGGAGGGACAUGCUUCUCCGGCACCCCCUGCCCCCACUGCGAGUUCUCAAGGCUUGGAUGACACAGAAAACUCAGCCCAGAAGCCCUGCCCUGAGGAUCCAACUGCACCAAGACCUGAGCGCUGAGAAAGUGAGCCCUGCAUAGAGGCCCGGGGGCCUUCUAGACAGCAGGCCAGCAGGUGCAAAGGUCCUGUGGCAAGAGCACCAGAGAUGCUGGGGACCCCCAAGGUGGCCCGUGUGGCUGCAGAGGUGUGACGAGGGGCAUAACAGGAGACAGGUCGGAACGCAGCCAGGCAGCCUGGAGAGCACCAAGGCCGUUAGAGGAUUCUGAGCAAAAGAGACAAUAAAUAUUUGUUCUGAGCGUUAGGUGGCCCGGGA